GACGAACGCUGGCGGCGUGCUUAACACAUGCAAGUCGAACGGAAAGGCCAUGCUUUUGUGGGGUGCUCGAGUGGCGAACGGGUGAGUAACACGUGAGUAACCUGCCCUUGACUUUGGGAUAACUUCAGGAAACUGGGGCUAAUACCGGAUAGGAGCUCCUGCUGCAUGGUGGGGGUUGGAAAGUUUCGGCGGUUGGGGAUGGACUCGCGGCUUAUCAGCUUGUUGGUGGGGUAGUGGCUUACCAAGGCUUUGACGGGUAGCCGGCCUGAGAGGGCGACCGGCCACAUUGGGACUGGGAUACGGCCCAGACUCCUACGGGAGGCAGCAGUGGGGAAUAUUGCACAAUGGGCGGAAGCCUGAUGCAGCAACGCCGCGUGCGGGAUGACGGCCUUCGGGUUGUAAACCGCUUUCGCCUGUGACGAAGCGUGAGUGACGGUAAUGGGUAAAGAAGCACCAGCUAACUACGUG
rnacentral:rRNA from 1 species